GUGUCAGCCGCCGCGGUAAUACGUAGGGUGCAAGCGUUAAUCGGAAUUACUGGGCGUAAAGCGUGCGCAGGCGGUUAUAUAAGACAGAUGUGAAAUCCCCGGGCUCAACCUGGGAGCUGCAUUUGUGACUGUAUAGCUAGAGUACGGUAGAGGGGGAUGGAAUUCCGCGUGUAGCAGUGAAAUGCGUAGAUACGCGGAGGAACACCGAUGGCGAAGGCAAUCCCCUGGACCUGUACUGACGCUCAUGCACGAAAGCGUGGGGAGCAAACAGGAUUAGAAACCCGGGUAGUCC
rnacentral:rRNA from 1 species